AUGGAGCCAUCAGGCUGCAGCCAACUGAUGACACUGGAUGUGGUGUUUAUUAAUCUACUUGUAAAGGCUGGGCUACAAGAAGUCUUAGGAGGACUCCUUUCCAACAGGGUCACCUCACUGCCUCCAACUCCUACAAAUGAGCCCAUCCAGAAAACUGUCUCUGGAGCAUGUGCCUGUUUCCAUCUUUUGCACAGUUUGAGGCCAUGUGUAAGGAUGGGAGAAGCUUGCCUGGCCUCCAGCCUGGAUGCCAGUCAGAACAAUGGUUCUCUGCUUUGGUGCCAGAGUCACAAGCAGUGUUCUAGGAUGGAGUUUCCUUCUGUUGCCCAGGCUGGCAUGUGGUGCACUGCAACUUGUAUCUCCCGGGUUCAAGCGAUUCAUGUGUUUCAGCCUCCCAAGCAGCUGGGACUAUAG
rnacentral:lncRNA from 1 species